GGAUUAGAUACCCUGGUAGUCCACGCCGUAAACGAUGUCUACUAGCCGUUGGGAAUCUAGUUAUUCUUAGUGGCGCAGCUAACGCACUAAGUAGACCGCCUGGGGAGUACGGCCGCAAGGUUAAAACUCAAAUGAAUUGACGGGGGCCCGCACAAGCGGUGGAGCACGUGGUUUAAUUCGAUGCAACGCGAAGAACCUUACCAUCUCUUGACAUCCUGCGAACUUGGUAGAGAUACCUUGGUGCCUUCGGGAGCGCAGUGACAGGUGCUGCAUGGCUGUCGUCAGCUCGUGUUG
rnacentral:rRNA from 1 species